GACGAACGCUGGCGGCGUGCUUAACACAUGCAAGUCGAGCGGUAAGGCCCUUUCGGGGGUACGACGAGCGGCGAACGGGUAGAGUAACACGUGGGUGACCUGCCCUCAGCUCUGGGGUAAGGCCUGGGAAACCGGGUCUAAUACUGGAUAUGACUCCAUGACGCAUGUUGUGGGGUGGAAAGCCUUGUGCGGCUGAGGAUGGGCCCGCGGCCUAUCAGCUUGUUGGUGGGGUGAUGGCCUACCAAGGCGACGACGGGUAGCCGGCCUGAGAGGGCGACCGGCCACACUGGGACUGAGACACGGCCCAGACUCCUACGGGAGGCAGCAGUGGGGAAUCUUGCGCAAUGGGCGAAAGCCUGACGCAGCGACGCCGCGUGAGGGAUGACGGCCUC
rnacentral:rRNA from 1 species